UAGAUUGCUUUGAAACGGACGUUCAUUAACAAAAGAAUAAUAUAUAUUUCGAUGAGAAAAAUUAGAAAAAAAAGAAAAGAAAGAAAGAAAAAGGAUUAUGUGACGAUCAAUUGUGGAGAACAGUUUCUGUUCGUAGGAUCGAAGGUUUGG